rnacentral:rRNA from 1 species
UGGCGGCAUGCCUUACACAUGCAAGUCGAACGGCAGCACGGGCUUCGGCCUGGUGGCGAGUGGCGAACGGGUGAGUAAUACAUCGGAACGUGCCCUGUUGUGGGGGAUAACCAGUCGAAAGAUUGGCUAAUACCGCAUACGACCUGAGGGUGAAAGCGGGGGACCGCAAGGCCUCGCGCAGCAGGAGCGGCCGAUGUCUGAUUAGCUAGUUGGUGGGGUAAAGGCCCACCAAGGCGACGAUCAGUAGCUGGUCUGAGAGGACGAUCAGCCACACUGGGACUGAGACACGGCCCAGACUCCUACGGGAGGCAGCAGUGGGGAAUUUUGGACAAUGGGGGCAACCCUGAUCCAGCAAUGCCGCGUGUGUGAAGAAGGCCUUCGGGUUGUAAAGCACUUUUGUCCGGAAAGAAAANCUCUGCCCUAAUACGGUGGGGGGAUGACGUACCGAAG